AGUUCGUUUACUCAUAUUUGGAUGAAAUAAAAAACAUAAACAAAAUAAUUUCCCGAACCUUAACAUCACUCGAACAUGAAGUUUGUUCUCUGAAAAACCCGUCCGGCCGAAACGCCGGGCUGCAUAAGAAAAACCUGGUGAACGAACUAGGCUGCACCACAGUCAUCCUUUCAAGCAUCAUGCGAAAGCCGGAUGUGACUUUGGAAUCGUUUCCCAAAAACUUAGUGCUGGUUCUGGAGCUACGAAAAUGACCUGGAAGAAUACAACACUCUUACCCACCAAUUGGCCGAGUGAUUGUCGCAGUUGGCCAAUAUCUAACUGACAUAUCCCACCCCAAAUAUAAUGUUGCUUUUCAGAGGAGCACCAUUAUAGUGUGUCAGCUAUAGCUGACCAGCUGUGACAUGGAUUGAACGCAUUUCGUAUGGCUCCGAGCAAAAACUGUUUCGGGCCAGGGCCUUACAGGACUGGAUCUUAAGAGCAUGUCAUAAUUUGCACAUGAAGCUAAUCCGGCGUUCAUUCCGGUGCAGUAUUCUUGAAACAAGACGCCACCGGAUUUCAAUAAACGAAAUAAAAUCGCAAGCGUAAAUAAGUCGAUAGCUGAUAUCGUUAACUUACAUAAUGCAGAUUGUACUGUGUCGGAAGCAAAGGAUCAUCGAUAUCUUUAACGACUUUUGCUGAAUCAACUUCAAUGCGGUGCGGAAACAUUACAAGGAGAAAGGAAUAUGCUAAGAGUUCGAAAAACCAGAUAUGGUUUUUAUAAGAUGUAAUUUCGAUGGACCUAAUCAGCCGGAUUCCCGUUGAAUUAAGAGCAGACAUCAACAUCAAUCGGUGAGCUCCGGAUUAUAUCCAAGAUUGGAUGGAUUUAUCGAAGAAGGAAGAGUCCGGAAGAGCGUUUGAUGUCUGAAUGUUCCUCUAUACUGAUGCAGCUGCUGCUGAUGAGCAUUUCAGUUUGUUCCAUCAUCCAUCUGCUACCAGGUCCGGAAUUGCAUUCCAUCAAACUUGGUUCAUUAAUUUGUCGUCUAUCAUGUGACCCGAGACCUGCUGCUGUUGACAUGUGAUUCACCAUUAGGAUUUGAUAAAUAUUCUGCUUUGUGUUGAUGCUGCUACCGUGCUACCAAGAUUUUUCCGGUGUUACAUGCAGCCAUUCUUCCAGUCACUUGUGCUUCAAUUGUUGAGUAACUUUUUUCAGUUACUACGUAAACAUAACAUAAUAUAAUAAUUGACAACAUAAUUUAAAAUAGCUAAUUAAAUUGUAUACAGUAUA